rnacentral:lncRNA from 1 species
GCAGUUAAUUUAUGUUAUCCUUGUCUGCUCUCUUUUGGGCCUAGUGGUGCAGUUGGUGCAGGUCAGUAAUUGCCCACUGGGAACUAUAAAUUAUAGUUCUCAUGCCCCAUGUUUUAUGUUUUCUUUCAGAGCCUUCCGCUUCGGGAGGGGCUCGGGAUCGCGGGAAAGGUUUCGCCUUGAGCUAGCGAGCGAGGGAUUUGGCGAUAGGUGGUCCACCUCUCUUUUGUUUUUCUUUGGAGAGGUUGUGAGAGUUUUGUACCUUAUUAUAGAGACCACCCUA